rnacentral:tRNA from 1 species
AACUCCUUCGGGGUUCGGUCCCCACGGGGUCCCUCACUCCUUCUUAAAAAGGGGUUCGGUCCCCCUCCCGUUAA